CCCAAAGCUUUUGCUCUCCUUGAUGGCUUCUUCAUCUUUUGGUGACUUACGGACAGCAGACUCUGAGUAUAUGGCAGGCUCAUCUACAUUAAAACCACAUAUUUUUGGAACCGAAGUGAGCUAAUUCAACUCCUUGAUGCCUAGAGUGCUUUCCAAAUCAUCACGCUUCCAGAGACAAUCUUAGCACAAACACACACCCCAAACCCAUGAGAUCCCAGUGAGUGACCUGUCAAAUUGCAGAUUCAAACCACAUCUCUCUUGCUGCUGGGGAAUUAUUUUCCUCUAGCACACACGCCUUUUCUGUGUGCCAGGGAGAUCACUCCAAGUGAUCAGAAACGACCCCAGAAGGAAUCAGCGUCUUGAGAACUCUUCUAUGCAGGGCCGUUGCCUGGCCGUGCGUUUUUUUCGCUGGCUCAUAAGCCACAAGCCCCUCCUGGGGUCCACACAGCCCGUCCCCACGGCAAGCCUGUCACAAAAGGGUGGGCGACAGGCCUUUUCCCCAUCGCCUCCUCCACCCCCGAGAGUCCUACCUGCUCUCCGCAGAGCGGGUGCGCGCCGCCUCAGCGCAGCAGCUUGGGCCCCGUGGGGAGCGCUGGGCGCUGACACCCCCUUUGCACGGCCCACGGCAGCUUCUCCCUUCUCCUCCUGCUCCCUGGGCUGCGCAGGCCGUGCACGGGGACUGCGCCUGGAAAGACAAAGAGCGCAGCCAGUUGUAGGCACUGCUCAGCGCAACACCAACGGCCGGGGCUUGUCCGCGCUUCCCAGAGUGACCCCCCCUUGGGAACGAAGAGCCCCAGGCACAAAGCUGAGCCCGAGCGCAGGAAAACAGCCCCGCAGUUUGCCCGCCAGCACCCGCCUGCCUGCACCCCGUUACCUGUCCCAGCAGUCGGUGUCACAUUCCUUCACCAGUGGCUGCACUGGGGCCAAGUCACGGGUGGCAGCUACACAGUGCAGCUUUUCCCAGCCCUCCAGCUGGAGCUCAUGGCCACCGCUGCUCCUGGAGGACACGGGACCCUUCCGUGCCCUCCUGCUCUGCAGGAACCGCCAGAUCCUCUUCAUGGCCCAGUGGGAAUGGGCACUGCACUGCCUCUCCUCGCCUCUCCCCGGGGAGCGGUGCCAGGCAGGACUUGGCGGGCGCUGGCACUGCGAACAGAAGAGCAGCAGGGCACGGGCAGCUGCCUACGGGCUGAGCCACCACCAGCAGCUCUACCGGCAGCACCACCACUAUAGGCAGCAGCUCUACCAGCACCAGCUCCACUGGCAGCACCGGCACCCCCGGAGUCACCAGCUCUGCUGACAGCACCACCAACCAGAUCAAGCUGCAUGUAUUUUAGCACACCAGACUUCUUUAAUAAAACAAACUGUAAUCACUUUGAAGUGGAAGAUGUUUCAAGAAAUAUGAAGAAGCAGCUGUCCAUGAUGAUGGAGGAACACUGGUGUAGUGUGGUCUAGUCUAAAUAGGCUGAAGUAUCCUUCUUGGACUCACUGGGCAUCAUACUGUUGGCAGUUCUGCAAGAGAACAUCAAAAGACUCAGCCUCCAGCUGACACCAUGGUGGCUUGGCAACAGCACCCUGAAACCUCUUAUCAUCUUUGUGCCAGAUGUUUCACAGAAACUAAGCAGCCCAUGGAACUUCAGUGAGAAAGAGCAGGAACUUCUGGUAUGUUCUGUUAAGGCAUAAUAGCUAGUAUCUCUUUCGAUACACAAUGUACUUAGUGUACCAUUUAAAAUGUACUCCCUUGCCUCCCUCUCUUUAGUCUGUUCCCUUGUAGGGUAGUAACUAUGCUAGACCAAUUAGUAAAUGAUACUAGUAGUAUAGUCAGCAGAUAAGUAACAGACACUGAAAUCUACUUUUCUGAGGGAGGUUUUCCAUCUGAAACUAGACAGUAACCCAUUUAAAAAUUCUAAGUUAAAUUCUGCCUUAGCUUUAUAUUGGGAGCACCAAAUGUGCCAAAUUCAUUACUUGCUGAA